CAGCCUCGACAUGCCCACUACAUGUAAAGUCAAACCAAUAGGGUUAGAUUCCAUAAACCCAGACCAUUUAUUGACACUGAGUUUAGCAGACUACCUGCAGAAUGUCUAGUCAACCUACUGCUCUCAACUACCUCCUAUUACCAUCCUAAUCUAACCCAAUGAACAAAAGAACACAGGACCGAUGUGGCUUAUCCGAGCAUUAACUUUGUCUGCAACUUAUUUUACGACAUACAAUAACUGAGAAGCACACUAAGUAAAAAAGACCGGACCAUUUUAUCAUCCCACUCCAAUACAUCUAUCUCUCGACCUUUCCAUCAUCUCUCCUGGAACCAGAAUUUAAAUAUAAUGGCACAAGAAACA
rnacentral:lncRNA from 1 species